rnacentral:rRNA from 1 species
UACGUAGGGUGCAAGCGUUGUCCGGAAUUAUUGGGCGUAAAGAGCUCGUAGGCGGCUUGUUGCGUCGACCGUGAAAACCCGCGGCUUAACUGCGGGCUUGCAGCCGAUACGGGCAGGCUAGAGUUCGGUAGGGGAGACUGGAAUUCCUGGUGUAGCGGUGAAAUGCGCAGAUAUCAGGAGGAACACCGGUGGCGAAGGCGGGUCUCUGGGCCGAUACUGACGCUGAGGAGCGAAAGCGUGGGGAGCGAACAGG